UCCCGGUUGAUCCUGCCGGACCUGACUGCUAUCGGAUUGGUACUAAGCCAUGCGAGUCGUUGUAGCAAUACAAGGCGGACGGCUCAGUAACACGUAGUCAACCUAACCUAUGGACGUGGAUAACCUCGGGAAACUGAGAAUAAACCGCGAUAGAUCAUUAUGCCUGGAAUGGCUUAUGGUUCAAACAAUUUAUUGCCGUAGGAUGGGACUGCGGCCUAUCAGCUUGUUGGUGAGGUAAUGGCCCACCAAGGCUAUAACAGGUACGGGCUCUGAGAGGAGAAGCCCGGAGAUGGGUACUGAGACACGGACCCAGGCCCUAUGGGGCGCAGCAGGCGAGAAACCUUAGCAAUGUGCGAAAGCACGACUAGGUUAAUCCGAGUGAUUUCUGUUGAAGAAAUCUUUUGUCAGUCGUAAAACCACAGACGAAUAAGGGGUGGGCAAGUCUGGUGUCAGCCGCCGCGGUAAUACCAGCACCUCGAGUGGUCAGGAGGUUUAUUGGGCCUAAAGCAUCCGUAGCCGGCUACGCAAGUCUCCGGUUAAAUCCAGCUGCUCAACAGAUGGGCUGCCGGAGAUACUACAUAGCUAGGGAGCGGGAGAGGUAGACGGUAUUCUGUGGGUAGGGGUAAAAUCCACUGAUCCAUAGAGGACCACCAGUGGCGAAGGCGGUCUACCAGAACGCGUUCGACGGUGAGGGAUGAAAGCUGGGGGAGCAAACCGGAUUAGAUACCCGGGUAGUCCCAGCUGUAAACGAUGCAAACUCGGUGAUGCAUUGGCUUAUGGCCAAUGCAGUGCCGCAGGGAAGCCGUUAAGUUUGCCGCCUGGGAAGUACGGACGCAAGUCUGAAACUUAAAGGAAUGGCGGGGGAGCA
rnacentral:rRNA from 1 species